GUCAUAAUAACAUCACGAAAGUACACAUUGGUGUAUUUAGCAACUUUCAGAUUAUACAUAUCACACACACAAGACGUUCAUCAAAGAUGUCACAGAAACCUAAUGAACAUUUACCUUUCUAUUACUAUUGUUGUAGUUUCCCAACAUUUCCAGUACAUCCCCCCCAAUAUACAUUCAACAAUUUUUAACAAUUUCCUACAUCUAAAAUCAGGUCUUUUGCCUGAUCCUCCUCCCGUUGGUAUCACCACCGUCUGAAAGUUGUGCCCACACACUUUUUGACUUCCCACCUCCACUGCUACUGUCAUCCUCGCAACCUGCCACAGUUUUAAGAAGCUCCGACUGAAGAGCGGGGCAAUUUUCUUUGAGGUACUCAAAGCCAUCUGAUUGCAUCACAGCAGAAAGAUUUUCAGCAGCAAAACUUAGGCAAACUGAUUUGAGCUCAGCGGCAUGGUAACGGUCUGCUAAAGCAAGAAUUUGUGCAACAGAGUUGAUAGAGAUAUCUUUGCAAAGAUGAGAU
rnacentral:misc_RNA from 1 species